rnacentral:rRNA from 1 species
GAUGAACGCUGGCGGCGUGCUUAACACAUGCAAGUCGAACGGGGUCCAACCUUCGGGUGAAGACCUAGUGGCGAACGGGUGAGUAACACGUGGGCAAUCUGCCCCUCUCUUCGGGACAACUCAGGGAAACUUGAGCUAAUACCGGAUACUCCGGGAUGGUCGCAUGGCCGACCCGGGAAAGCUCCGACGGAGAGGGAUGAGCCCGCGGCCCAUUAGCUUGUUGGUGGGGUAACGGCCCACCAAGGCGACGAUGGGUAGCCGAGCUGAGAGGCUGAUCGGCCACACUGGGACUGAGACACGGCCCAGACUCCUACGGGAGGCAGCAGUGGGGAAUCUUGCGCAAUGGGCGAAAGCCUGACGCAGCAACGCCGCGUGCGGGAUGAAGGCCUUCGGGUCGUAAACCGCUUUCAGCAGGGACGAAAAUGACUGUACCUGCAGAAUAAGCCCCGGCUAACUCCGUGCCAGCAGCCGCCGUAAGAC